GUAGGCUGCCUCUAAGUCAGAAUGUGAAAUCCAAUGGCUCAACCAUUGAACUGCAUUUGAAACUGGGAGCCUAGAGUUCAGAAGGGGCAGAUGGAAUUAGUGGUGUAGGGGUAAAAUCCGUAGAUAUCACUAGGAAUAUCAAAAGCGAAGGCGAUCUGCUGGGAUGAUACUGACGCUGAGGCACGAAAGCGUGGGGAGCUAACAGGAUUAGAUACCCUGGUAGUCCGCGCCCUAAACGAUGAAUGCUAGUCGUCGGGGAGCUCGUCUCUUCGGUGAUGCACUUAACAGAUUAAGCAUUCCGCCUGGGGAGUACGGUCGCAAGAUUAAAACUCAAAGGAAUAGACGGGGACCCGCACAAGUGGUGGAGCAUGUGGUUUAAUUCGAAGAUACACGAAGAACCUUACCUGGCCUUGACAUGGUAGGAACCCUUAAGAGAUUAGGGGGUGCUAGCUUGCUAGAACCUACACACAGGUGCUGCACGGCUGUCGUCAGCUCGUGUCGUGAGAUGUUGGGUUAAGUCCCGCAACGAGCGCAACCCUCGUCAUUAGUUGCUAACAGUUCGGCUGAGCACUCUAAUGAGACUGCCUCCGUAAGGAGGAGGAAGGUGAGGACGACGUCAAGUCAUCAUGGCCCUUACGGCCAGGGCUACACACGUGCUACAAUGGGGCGUACAGAGGGCUGCAAUACCGCGAGGUGGAGCCAAUCCCUUAAAGCGUCCCUCAGUUCGGAUUGUUCUCUGCAACUCGAGAACAUGAAGCUGGAAUCACUAGUAAUCGUAGAUCAGCUAUGCUACGGUGAAUACGUUCCCGGGUCUUGUACUCACCGCCCGUCACACCAUGGGAGUUGAUUUCACCCGAAAUCGGGAUGCCAAACUGGCUACCGCUUACGGUGGAAUUAGCGACUGGGGUGAAGUCGUAACAAGGUAACC
rnacentral:rRNA from 1 species